CCAGACUCCUACGGGAGGCAGCAGUGAGGAAUAUUGGUCAAUGGCCGAAGGGCUGAACCAGCCAAGCCGCGUGAAGGAAUAAGGCCCUACGGGUCGUAAACUUCUUUAGUCAGGGAACAAAGGGUGCCACGCGUGGCGCUGUGAGUUUACCUGAAGAAUAAGCAUCGGCUAACUCCGUGCCAGCAGCCGCGGUAAUACGGAGGAUGCGAGCGUUAUCCGGAUUUAUUGGGUUUAAAGGGUGCGUAGGCGGAAGGUUAAGUCAGCGGUCAAAUGUCGGUGCUCAACACCGGCCUGCCGUUGAAACUGGUCUUCUUGAGUGAGCGAGAAGUAUGCGGAAUGCGUGGUGUAGCGGUGAAAUGCAUAGAUAUCACGCAGAACUCCGAUUGCGAAGGCAGCAUACCGGCGCCCAACUGACGCUGAAGCACGAAAGCGUGGGUAUCGAACAGGAUUAGAUACCCUAGUA
rnacentral:rRNA from 1 species